UCCCCGCCCACCCCUUCAAGUUACCACCUCUCCCCUAUAAUAGGCUUAGGAGCCAAAUCCCUAGUGACACCAACAGACAUUGAAAAGCACAAGUUGCUCCAUUUUCGAUAAGUCAUUGCUAUGCCCGCCUGCCCCCGUCGGGAGCCUGCCGCCCCAAUCACUUCAAUCUUCCAUUGAAUUGUGCGAAUUGUGUGAUGGAAGAAAAAAAAACUAAAAAAACUAAAAGACAAAAACAAAAAGUGAAUGACAAAUAUAAAUGUGCGAAAUGAGUAUUGAUAUUAGGACCUACACUAUAUCAAAAUAAUAGCCUUACCGCUACACCAUUUAAUUAAACUUGAAUUUAUAAUUCCGGAAUUUACUUAAUGCAAGAUGAAGACAUCUUAACUAUAUGUAUAUGGAACUGACCAAAUGACAUGACAAAAUUCACUAAAAGAGCAUAAGGAUACAAUAGAUUGUUCGGAAAAAAAAUUAAUUAAC
rnacentral:lncRNA from 1 species